GAUGAACGCUGGCGGCGUGCCUAAUACAUGCAAGUCGAGCGAACGGACGAGAGGCUUGCUUUUCUGAUGUUAGCGGCGGACGGGUGAGUAACACGUGGAUAACCUACCUAUAAGACUGGGAUAACUUCGGGAAACCGGAGCUAAUACCGGAUAAUAUUUUGAACCGCAUGGUUCAAAAGUGAAAGACGGUCUUGCUGUCACUUAUAGAUGGAUCCGCGCUGCAUUAGCUAGUUGGUAAGGUAACGGCUUACCAAGGCAACGAUGCAUAGCCGAACUGAGAGGGUGAUCGGCCACACUGGAACUGAGACCCGGUCCAGACUCCUACGGGAGGCAGCAGUAGGGAAUCUUCCGCAAUGGGCGAAAGCCUGACGGAGCAACGCCGCGUGAGUGAUGAAGGUCGUCGGAUCGUAAAACUCUGUUAUUAGGGAAGAACAUAUGUGUAAGUAACUGUGCACAUCUUGACGGUACCUAAUCAGAAAGCCACGGCUAACUACGUG
rnacentral:rRNA from 1 species